rnacentral:rRNA from 1 species
CCUACGGGAGGCAGCAGUGGGGAAUAUUGCACAAUGGGGGGAACCCUGAUGCAGCGACGCCGCGUGGGUGAAGGAGUAUUUCAGUAUGUAAAGCCCUAUCAGCAGGGAAGAACAAUGACGGUCCCUGACUAAGAAGCACCGGCCAAAUACGAGCCAGCAGACGCGGUCAUACGGAGGGGCCACGCGUUAACCGGAUUUACUGGGUGUAAAGGGAGCGCAGGCGGGGCGUUAAGCCUGGUGUGAAAGGCCGGGGCACAACCGCGGGACCGCAUUUGGAACUGGCACUCUGGAGUGCCGGAGGGGUAGGCGGAAUUCGUGGUGUAGCGGUGAAAUGCGUAGAUAUUGGGAAGAACACCAGUGGCGAAGGCGGCAUGCUGGACGGUGACUGACGCUGAGGCUCGAAAGCGUGGGGAGCAAACAGGAUUAGAUACCCGAGUAGUC